UAGUUGCUGAUUGAUCACAUUCUAGGAGGCUGGUUGAAGCCUGUUCAGGAGUUUGGAUUUAUAAAUGGCCCCCAUUCAUUGAUUUGGUUGACAUUGCACAUGAGUUGCUGUGAGCAAAGAGUUAGACCAUUUUGCUUACUGUUUUCAGAGCCUUGCCAGCAAUCCAAGUUUUGACAUGGACUUGUAUGUUGUAUCCGAGAAGUAAAAAAAAAUGCACUGGUAUUUAUUUUUGAAACAGAGAACUGCAGGAACAGUAAACUUGAUUUGUACAAGUGAGAGAUGAGGAGGAUAUAUAGAGGCAGAGCUGAUCCAAGCCAGUUGCAGUCUUUGGGGCUGAGAGGAUUAACCUGUUGUAUACAUUGUGGAAUAUUAUGUUGUUAUCAGAGAGAACCUGACUGACUUGUAUCAUCAUCAUCAUGUAUACCUGUAUCCUCUGUGGAUUGACAUGUACAUUGACCAGUAGGUAAAAGUAUAUGGAGUGAUGGCCCGUAUCAUCAUCAUCAUCAUCAUCAUCAUCAUCAUGUACACAGUAGCCCGUUCCGGUCGUAUUUCUCUCUCUAGAUAUGGAGUGAUGGCAGGCAUAGGAAUGAUAUGUUGAGGUUAGUCUUGUGAAACUAAUGUUGCAGUUGUUGUUUGUUGUAGACUGAGCAUGUCUGUUUUAUUUCUUUGGGUUUCGUUCGGCAUCUCAAUAAGUACAUGUCUGUUUUAGUUUAUGAGUUGUUUCUUUUCUUUCUUGUGAGCUAUAAAUAAAUGUCAAAUAGUAUUAUCAACCUUGGGAAAUAUUAUCAACAUUUACUCCUCUGUCACAUAUUAACCGACAGAUAAAUGGGAAUCGGCUUUAGCAUAGUCUGAUCUGAUGUACUAGAAUUUAGUUCCAAUUUUGAAUUUUAGGCAUUAGCUUUGGUGGUGCUGUGCUGUGCUGUGCUGUGCUGUGUAGGUUUGGUGGUGCAAGAUGACGGCGUCGUCUUGCUGCUGCUUCCGACUGCUGUUGAGUCGGUGUCUGUUUCCCAAGAUUAUGCUUGUGGGUUUUGAUCUGAAGAAGAAUAAAUUGGAGCUUAGCGAAUUGAGGUUGGUUUCUACGUACGUAUUUGGUUUGGUUAGCCAUCCCGUCCCGUGGUUAAUUUUUUUUGGCUGGCCAUGUUUAUGUUGCUAGUACUGUAACCAAAUCUGAGAUGAGUCUGCAACUGUAAACUAGCUUGUGGCAAGCAUCUGAUCAUUUGAAAUCUGCAGUCUUGUCCGUGUGAGUGAUGCAUCCCGUCGUUUAAUAUUUUGGCCAUUAGCUUUGGUGGUGCUGUUCUCUGUUGUGCUGUGUAGGUUUGGUGCUGCAAAGGUUCAAGUCAGUACCUGUUUCCCAAGAUUGUGCUUGUGAAAAAUGUUCGUGAAAGUUUCUUGGAUUUGGAAAAAGAUCAUGAGUUCAAAAGAUGUUCAAUAAAUGAAAAAUUGUUCCCGAAUUUUAAAAUAGAUCACAAAUUUGAGAAACAUUCAAAAAUUCAAAAAAAUAUUCACAGAUUGAAAAGUGUUUGUGGAUUUGAAACAAGUUCAAAAAUUCAAAGAAAAUUGUUAAAUGAAAAAUAUUUGCACAUUUGAAAAAUAUCACAAAAUUAAAAAUAGUUCAUGGAUUUAACAAAGUUCAUGAACUUGAGAAAAGGUCUCAUUUUUUUAAAAAAAAAUGCGAAUUUGAGUAAAGUUCAUGAACUUGAAAAAAUAUUAACGAUUUAAAAAAUGUUCAUCAUUUCAAAAUGUAAAAAAAAGAAAAGAAAAAAAUGAAUGAGUAAAAAGAGUAAUGAAAACAACAAAGAAACUGAAAGAUAAAUCAAAAUAGUACUAAAAAAGAGAACGGAAAAUAAUGUGAAAACCAGAAAGGAAAAAACCAAAUAGAAAACCAUGGCUGGAAAAUACAGAAAGACUGUCAAAAAAAGAGAAACCGAAUAGAAAACCAUGGCUGGAAAAUACAAAAAGACUGUCAAAAAAAAAGAGAAACCGAAAAGAAAACCAUGGCUGGAAAAUACACAAAGACUGUAAAAAAAAAGAGAAACCAUGCGAAAGAACAUUCUAGAAUGUUCCCAAAAGCGGCAAUUAACCACACUGUUCCAUGGGCCAGGCCGUUAGAAGUAGCAGCCCCCCACCUGAGCUCUCGCUACGAAUAAAGAGCUAUCACCAGAUAGGAUAUACCCCUAAAAAAACCAGAUAGGAUAUGGCUAAAACUUGCGUGUCUCAAAUGUUUUUGUUGGAUAUUUAUGCAAAAUAUUUUAUUUUUGAGCCCGUCAAAAAAUAUUUUAUUUUAUUUUUGAGAGACAUAUCAUUUAAGGACGCGUCUACACAGCGGCCGGCUGCUCCCUGUCGUUUCGGAGCAGCCGGCCAAAAUACAAAAAGUUUGAUAUGUAAUCCAUAAAAAGAAAUGUCUUGUCCUUAUGUCUUGUCCUUUUUGUCCUUUAUAUUGAUUAGAUUUUUUUCCAUCUGGUCCUUUUUUCAUGACAUAUUAAAUGCCCGAAACAGUUAUCUUUUAGAUGUAGAGUGCAUGUGCAUUUAAUUUGUGGUUUUAAAUUUUCAAAAAACAAUAACUUUCAAAUUGCGCAUCAAAAUUAAGAUUCGUUUUCACUACUGGAACCAUCGCGGCGUGCUCUUCGAAACUAAAUCCCACAUGAGUAUAUUUCGACGAAUUUUUUUGUGCAAUUUUGUCCCCGUUUUGUGCAACUGACUAACCGUUGUUGUGUAACUACCUGACAGGGAUGUGCAACUUUUCUCGUACACUGUAGACAUGCAGUUUUUCUCUAUGGUGCCUCCACCUUCAAACUGCCUCCUUUCAGUGAGAUGUGCAACUUCGUUUGUUGUCUAGGCCAUGCAGUUUUCACUAGUGGCACCACCCCAUACUACUCUCUAACAGUGAAAUGUGCAUUUUCGCUGUGCCCUAGCCAACUGCCUAGUAGUCGUCGUGUGUGGGCAGCCCCCACAACCGUGUUCGAGGGACUAUCCUAUGAGGAUGUCCCAACUCCACGGUCACGCAUGUGCGACUAUGCACACAAGAGUGUGCAACUCCGUGGUCGGACGUGGGCAUCUCCCACAGUAGUUCAUGUGCGACUAUGCAGACGAGAUUGUGCAACUGUGUGGCCAUGCAUGUGCGACUAUGCUGAUGAGAGUGUGCAACUCCGUGGUCGGACAUGACCACGUCCCACAAAAACUUAUGUGCGACUAUGCGGACGAGAUUGUGCAACUCUGUGGCCAUGCAUAUGCGACUGUGCCGACGAGAGUGUGCAACUCCGCGGCCAUGCAUGAGCACCUCCCACGAUAAUUCAUGUGCGACUAUGCGGACGAGAUUGUACAACUCUGUGUUCAUGCAUGAGCAUCUCCCACGAUAAUUCAUGUGCGACUAUGCGGACGAGAUUUUGCAACUCUGUGUUCGUGCAUGUGCAACUAUGCCGACGAGAGUGUGCAAUCCCGCGGCCAUGCGUGAGCACCUCCCACGAUAAUUUAUGUACUAUGCACACGAGAUUGUGCAACUCUGUGGCCAUGCAUGUGCGAUUAUACCGACGAGAGUGUGCAACUCCGCGGCCGGGCAUGAGCACCUCCCACGACAAUUCAUGUGCGACUAUGCGGACGAGAUCGUGUAACUCUGUGACCAUGCAUAUUGUGCCGACAAAAGUGUGCAACUCCGCGGCCAUGCGUGAGCAUCUCCCCACGGACCCGCGACUAAUGCAUUGCGUCCUUGCAUCGACAAUGACCCGGCGGAGAUCAUCAUCAUCGGGCACAUCGUCUGGUUCCUCUUGAUCUUCAGCAGCUUCACCCGUGGCAGCAUCAUUGGGCACAUCGUCUGGUUCCUCUUGAUCUUCACCAGCUCCCCACGUUGCAGCAUCACCGUAUUCAGGGGGCACAUAGUUGUCAUCGUACUCUUCUUCUUCGCCGUCUUCCAUCAUAACCCCUAUUUCUCCGUGCCUCGUCCAAACAUUAUAGUGUGGCAUGAAACCCUUGUAAAGCAGGUGGGAGUGAAGGAUUUUCCGGUUAGAGUAAGACCUCAUAUUCCCACAUUCAGUGCAUGGACAACGCAUAAAACCAUUCUGCUUGUUUGCCUCAGCCGCAUCGAGAAACUCAUGCACGCUCUUAAUGUACUCGCGGGUGUGUCUGUCACCGUACAUCCAUUGCCGGUUCAUCUGCGUGCAUUAUAUAUAAUUAAGUGUCCAAAUUAAUAGAAGUUCAUCAUCACAUUAAAACCAAAGUGCAUACAUAGUUCUCAUCUAACAACAUAUAGCUCUCCAGAGCAUCUACUUAAUUAAACCAUACAUUGAAACUAUGUAAAACAUUUCAAUGCGAAAACAAAUGCGAUCAUAAUCGCAACCAAGGUAACAAUUGAUCCAACGGUAUAAUGAUACCAAGUCUCGGUAUGAAUGGCAUAUUUUCUAAUCUUUCUAAUCUUCAAGCGCAUUGCAUCCAUCUUGAUCUUGUGAUCAUCGACGACAUCCGCAACAUGCAACUUCAAUAUCAUCUUCUCCUCCUCAAUUUUUUUUUAUUUUUUCCUUCAACAAAUUGUUUUCUUCUUCAACUAAAUUUAACCUCUCGACAAUAGGAUCGGUUGGCAUUUCCGAUUCACAUACAUCCUAGAUAAAUAAAAUCUAUGUCACGUUGGUCGGCAUAAUUUUCAUAAACAAUAAAUGAACCAAUAGUUAUAAAGAUAAUAUACAUACCAAAUCCGAAUCAUAGACAGGACGAGGGCCGACGGGGGCGGAUACCAAAACCAUCGCACUAUAUAAGAUGCAAUAAUAAAUGUAAGAAAAUGAUACAAGUAUCUAUCUAAACAUACAAGUAAGAAUAUUUUUCCUUUCAGAAAGAAGAUAAGAACAAGAGGCUCACCACGGUGGUGUCGGUGAUGAGAUCGGCGCGGGUGAUCGACGGCGGUGAAGACGGGGAUGGGGCGUGACGGACCGCUAAAUCUAGACAAAUCUCGAGGAAAAUGGAGCUUGGAGGUCGAGCUUCGAGAGGAGAAAGCUUAAUAGUGUGGCUCGGGCAUUCCAUCGAACACCUCAUGUGCAUAGGAGGUGAGCUAGAGCACCACAAAGCCCUCUCCCCCUCGGCCAGAAAAAACAGAGCACUGUGCUCUGCUCUUGCGCGAGGGGGUAUAUAUAGGCACCUCAUUGGUCCCGGUUGGUGGCAUGAACCGGGACCAAAGGGGAGCCUUUGGUCCCGGUUCAAGCCACCAACCAGGACCAAUGGUAGUGGGCCAGGAGCGAGGCCCAUUGGUCCCGGUUCGUCCCACCAACCGGGACCAAAAGGUCCAGACGAACCGGGACCAAUGGCCCACGUGGCCCGGCCGGCCCCCUGGGCUCACGAACCGGGACCAAUGCCCACAUUGGUCCCGGUUCUAUACUGAAUCGGGACUAAUGGGCUGAGCCGGCCUGGACCAUAGCCCUGUUUUCUACUAGUGAACCGUGCCGACGAAAGUGUGCAACUCCGCGGCCAUGCGUGAGCAUCUCCCCACGACAAUUCAUGUGCGACUAUGCGGACAAGAUUGUACAACUCUCUGUACAUGCGUGUGUGACUAUGCCGGCAAGAGUGUGCAACUCCGCGUCCGGGCGUAAGAACCUCCCACGAUAAUUCAUGUGCUACUAUAUGGGCCAGAUUGUGCAACUCUGUUGCCAUGCAUGUGCGACUGGGCCGACGAAAGUGUGCAACUUGGCGGCGGGGCAUGAGAACAUCCCAUGAUAAUUCAUAUGCGAUUAUACGGAUCAGAUUGUGCAACUAUAUGGUUAUGCAUGUGCCAAAUAAAACUAGUAUAUGUGCAACUACAACUAGUGUGAGUAUCAACUAGCCAUCCAGGAAGAGUCUAGAUGCACGAACACACAGCCGCGUGCAGACCACCGCGAUGCAUUCAUCCGUGCUCCCUUCUUCUUGUCCUUGCCACGUGCUCCCUUCUUCCCGUCCACAACAAGGAUGCAUGCACCCUUCUCAUUCACUCCCAGCCUUUUGGAUCAAUGGAUUCGGAGGGAGGCGCUCUACAUUUGUACUGCUACAUAGAAAUAAAAUGGAGUGAGAAAGAAGAUGUGGCUGCAGGAAGAAAAGAGCGAGAAGAGAAUCUGAAUUUGCUUUCCCCCUUGUUUGACCCGUUCCUCCCCUUACAUGUGUUAUUCCCUGAGGUGCUGCUGCCUGAAGAGAAUCUGAUGCCGCAAAGAAAAUAUGGAUGCUAAUAAACAGAGAACUGCAGGAACAGUAAACUUGAUUUGUACAAGUGAGAGAUGAGGAGGAUAUAUAGAGGCAGAGCUGAUCCAAGCCAGUUGCAAUCUUCGGGGCUAAGAGGAUUAACCUGUUGUAUACAUUGUGGAAUAGUAGUAUGUUGUUAUCAGAGAGAACCUGACUGACUUGUAUCAUCAUCAUCAUGUAUACC
rnacentral:lncRNA from 1 species